GAAAUGAGUCAGGAGAGGGAGGUUAAACUUUCUCCUGCCUCGGAGAUAAAGGUAUACAUGGAGCUGAUACUCUACGCUGACCCAGGGAGAUAUCACUACCAACAGAACAGACUCCCAGAGGGAAAGGCAGCAGCUGAGGACAAAGUUUAGCUUGGAAUAUCAAACCCGCAGCACCUGUUGGAUCGAGCAUUGCUUAAACCUGACAGUUUUCUCUUCCAAGGGACAUCAGACUGGCCACCUCCCUCCUGUCCUUUAGAAGGAAACUCAAAAUUUGGUUGUGGGACCAAGCGCUUGACAAUCGAAUAGCAGCAAGUGAGAAGAAGACGUCUUUGCACUCCAGGAGAUACACUGAAAGAGAGGAAAGCAUAGCUAAGGACGACAUCCAAGGCGGAACAUCAGUGGGAGGAGAAUUGGAACAUCUACUUCCACAUGUGCCUUAGACUGGCCACCCACUCCCUUUGAAAGGGAUUUGGCGCUGACCCAAGUCUGUGGUGAAGUUUGGCUGCUGCCAGGCAUCAUUCAGCAUCUGUACAGUUUGGUUUGGCAUUCGUGCUUAGCAAUGUUUGAGUAGCACGCAGCAGAAAGAGCACACACAGGUAAGAGGCCUCUGUUUGAGAAGCUGCCCUCUCCCCCUUUCUAGAAAUCCUG